AGCUCAGUGGUAGAGCACGUGCCUAGCAUGCAUGAGGUCCUGGGUUCAAUCCCUAG
rnacentral:tRNA from 1 species